AACACUUAUGGAACUAACAUAUUUCAAAAAAUGCAAGUAAAAAGGGUUUUGUGUGGCAGGGCACCUUUAAACCAAAACUUCUUAAAGGAUUUGUGCUUCUCCAGCACCAAUGCAGGUUGUCCCCCCACCAAGCCUAACAUUUUUUGAAACUAGUUAAAGUAGGGCGGCUCGGUUAGAAACGUAGACCCGGUCAUAUUUUCAAAGCUUCAGUUAUCUUUUAGCCCUAUGGAAUCUGUCUUAUAGCUUUUUUAACCCUCCUGUUGUGCUCGGGUCAAAUUUGA